CUGGAAGAGUUACAAACAGUAAAAACAGUAGCAAAUGUAUGCUGCUUUUCAAAUUUCCCGUGCCAAAUGACCUCUAGAAAGUGUCUGUUUAGGGAUCAAAGUCUGUGCUGCUGCUUCUGUAGCUUUUUGUUGCAGACCAUUCUUUUCUAUGACCUGGAUCCAAGGCUAUGAACCUGACUCUCAAGAUAGUUACCGAAAGCCCGUAUGUGAACAUGGCAACGGUUCUGACACUUUGUGUGUGAACAUCCUGCGGUUCAAAGGAACUCUGUUCAUCAUGGAGCUAGGUUUCUUUCUUACCGUGUCCCAGCCUUUGUUCAGAUGUCAAGGGAGCAUCCCUCUCAUCUCUCAGAUUGAUGGCAUCGUCUAGGACUUCCCACAUAGACUAGAUAAACUAAAGGCUUCUAUAGACAGACAUAUGGCUUAGGUGUUCUUGAAAGAGCUUCUUCUGCUUCACAAUUACAAUAGAAGACCAUUAUCACACAAGGAAGAGUGCCAAGAGAACAACAACAUUGAACAAUUCAGGUGUACUAUGGCAUUGGUGACAAGAGAGACAUGACAUGGUUGGUAAACCCUAUUGAAAGGUGUGUUAUUGUCUAUAAUUGCACUUUAUCAGCCUUAUAUGAUAAAAUCUCUAGUUUAAAUUGUGGCUCUUCCAUAGUCUUCUGGCUGGAGCUAAUGGAGAGUGAGGUUAAAAAACAGAUACAUGGGGGAAAUUGCAUUUGUGUACUUCUUUGCAUUAAAAAAAAAACAUGAGGCAUAUGAAGGAAGACAAGACUCACUAGAAUGCCAGUUUUUCAGCCCUAAACCACUUCAAAUAGAGCUCAUCUGAAGAACUUACUGAAACUCCUCUUUAAACCUUGGCCUUGACUUUAUCCUAAAUGGGAGCAUCCAUGUACAUAGCUAAUGUUCAUGUUGAUAAUGUUUUGGAAUAGCUAAAUAUUUCUGGUUAACCAUGAAUAAAUAUUUGGUUUUUUAAAAUUGCCAAACAAAGGUUUAAUUUAUACACUGGACACAUUCUUGCCCUCUGUCCCCUUCUUGCCAUGUAAGUUUACACACAUAUUCCUGAAGUGUUGGGACAAGACAAAGGCUUCCCUGUGAGGCAGGCACUUUGUCAUCAGGGAAACUUGUCAUAGGCACCUCCAGAGUGGCAACAGUGCAUCACAAAAGUUCUGUCUUAGACAAGGGACGUUAACUCACCUUAUGUUAGCUAAGCUUUCCUGUCCCAUGCUUGACCACCUGCCAGGAAAUGUGCAGCAGUCCGGCUCACUCUGUUCGUAAAUGACUUUGGAGAAUUAGAACUUCAUAUAAAGAAAGGCAUGAGAUUUACAACCUUCACAAUAUUUCUCACUUUGGAAAAUUAAAUAGCCUGAUAGAGAUGCUAAAAAAGAGGGAGAGGUCAUUGAAAAGGGCAAUCCCAUGCAUGACCACUUCAGUAUUCAAGCCCUUGCUGAAGAAAUGGCAUAGGCAGAUGAAUUAAAGAGAAAUUUCCUUGUGUUGCAAGGAAAUGGCAAUAGAGAGGAAGAAAUGGCUUUCUGGACUUCCACAGAACUUCACUCUAUAAAAAAAGAAAACCUUUAAUCCUCUCAUGCAAAGGAGUGUGCGAUUGAUAUUUUAGCAGGCCUUUUACUGAAGCUGAAUUCCCAUAAUGAAAGGAUGGAGGGAAAGAGACUCGUGACAUGUCCAUCAAACUGUCAUGGCAGUGGCCCCAGUUGAGUUACUUCUUUUUUCCCCCCACAAACAAAACAUGCAAAGUUAUGUUUUCAAUUACAAAGUAAACCUAUUAAAUAAAAAGAUACAAUGUUUU